rnacentral:tRNA from 1 species
AAUGGAGGUAAACUAAUUAAAGUUGUCUGGCUCAUAAUCAGAUUAUGAAUUUUUCUCUUCAUUU